UACAGAGGUCCCAAGCGUUGUUCGGAUUCAUUGGGCGUAAAGGGUGCGUAGGCGGCGCGGUAAGUCGGGUGUGAAAUCUCGGGGCUUAACUCCGAAACUGCAUUCGAUACUGCCGUGCUUGAGGACUGGAGAGGAGACUGGAAUUUACGGUGUAGCGGUGAAAUGCGUAGAUAUCGUAAGGAAGACCAGUGGCGAAGGCGGGAUCCUGGGCCAGUACUGACGCUGAGGAGCGAAAGCGUGGGGAGCAAACAGG
rnacentral:rRNA from 1 species